rnacentral:rRNA from 1 species
GACGAACGCUGGCGGCGUGCCUAAUACAUGCAAGUCGAACGAGUGGCGGACGGGUGAGUAAUGUCUGGGAAACUGCCUGAUGGAGGGGGAUAACUACUGGAAACGGUAGCUAAUACCGCAUACCAUCAGAUGUGCCCAGAUGGGAUUAGCUUGUUGGGGGGGUAACUGCUCACCAAGGCGACGAUCCCUAGCUGGUCUGAGAGGAGGACCAGCCACACUGGACAGGAGACACGGUCCAGACUCCUACGGGAGGCAGCAGUGGGGACUAUUGUAAAAUGGGCGCAAGCCUGAUGCAGCAAUGCCGCGUGUAUGAAGAAGGCAUUCGGGUUGUAAAGUACUUUCAGCGGGGAGGCGUUACCCGCAGAAGAAGCACCGGCUAACUCCGUGCCAGCAGCCGCGGUAAUUC